rnacentral:rRNA from 1 species
UACGUAGGUGGCAAGCGUUGUCCGGAUUUACUGGGCGUAAAGCGAACGCAGGCGGAUGGUUAAGUAAGAAGUGAAAGGUCGGAGCUCAACUCCAACACUGCUUCUUAUACUGGCUAUCUUGAGUAGCGGAGAGGAAGAGGGAACGACACGUGUAGCGGUGAAAUGCGUUGAUAUGUGUCGGAACACCCAUGGCGAAAGCACUCUUCUGGACGCAGACUGACGCUCAUGUUCGAAAGCUAAGGGAGCGAACAGG